GUCUCAGUAGCUCAGUGGUUAGAGCACUGGCAUAGUACGUCAGAGGCCCUGGGUUCAAGUCGCAGUUGAGACU
rfam:Crassostrea gigas strain 05x7-T-G4-1.051#20 contig8953, whole genome shotgun sequence.